CCCUAAAAAGACAGUCUCAGUUCGGAUCGCAGGCUGCAACUCGCCUGCAUGAAGACGGAAUUGCUAGUAAUCGCGGAUCAGCAUGCCGCGGUGAAUACGUUCCCGGGUCUUGUACACACCGCCCGUCACACCAUGGGAGUCGGAAAUGCCCGAAGUCAGUGACCCAACCGCAAGGAGGGAGCUGCCGAAGGUGGAGCCGGUAACUGGGGUGAAGUCGUAACAAGGUAGC
rnacentral:rRNA from 1 species